UACAGAGGUCUCAAGCGUUGUUCGGAUUCAUUGGGCGUAAAGGGUGCGUAGGCGGCGCGGUAAGUCGGGUGUGAAAUCUCGGAGCUUAACUCCGAAACUGCAUUCGAUACUGCCGUGCUUGAGGACUGGAGAGGAGACUGGAAUUUACGGUGUAGCGGUGAAAUGCGUAGAUAUCGUAAGGAAGACCAGUGGCGAAGGCGGGUCUCUGGACAGUUCCUGACGCUGAGGCACGAAAGCGUGGGGAGCGAUCCGG
rnacentral:rRNA from 1 species